rnacentral:tRNA from 1 species
CCCUCGAUAGCUCAGUUGGAAGAGCGCGAGACUGUAAAUCUUGAGGUCGCUGGUUCGAUCCCGGCUCGAGGGA